GGCCUGAUAGCACAGCUGGAUAGUGCAUCUACAUUGAUUUCAGAUUCAAGAUUUGUUCUGUGGAGGAUCCCUGUUCAAACCCGGGUCAGGCCA